rnacentral:rRNA from 1 species
GCGCCAGACUCCUACGGGAGGCAGCAGUGGGGAAUAUUGCACAAUGGGCGCAAGCCUGAUGCAGCCAUGCCGCGUGUAUGAAGGAGGCCUUCGGGUUGGAAAGUACUUUCAGCGGGGAGGAAGGCGAUAAGGUUAAUAACCUUGUCGAUUGACGUUACCCGCAGAAGAAGCACCGGCUAACUCCGUGCCAGCAGCCGCGGUAAUACGGAGGGUGCAAGCGUUAAUCGGAAUUACUGGGCGUAAAGCGCACGCAGGCGGUUUGUUAAGUCAGAUGUGAAAUCCCCGGGCUCAACCUGGGAACUGCAUCUGAUACUGGCAAGCUUGAGUCUCGUAGAGGGGGGUAGAAUUCCAGGUGUAGCGGUGAAAUGCGUAGAGAUCUGGAGGAAUACCGGUGGCGAAGGCGGCCCCCUGGACGAAGACUGACGCUGAGGUGCGAAAGCGUGGGGAGCAAA